rnacentral:tRNA from 1 species
GGCCCCGUAGCUCAGCGGUCAGAGCAGGGUACUCAUAAUUCCUUGGUCCUCGGUUCGAAUCCGAGCGGGGCCA